UCUCUCUCUCUUUCUCUCUCUCUCUCUCUCUCUCUCUUAUGAUUCUUUCUUUCUUGCUCACUCACUGUUUAUAUGAAUAGAUAUAUUAUGUAGUCGUGAUUUUCCUUAUUAGUGUAUAAAGAUCAUUUGAGAAAGAGAGAAUAUAUGAAAUUGAAAAUAUUUUCAGUGAAAUGUUGCUAUCAUUAAUAUGCGAUUAUUAAAAAUAUGAAAUUCGUAGUCAAGCGUGUACAAUAGAAUAUGCGUUGUAUCAUAGAUGGAAAUCAUUCUUGAUCGGUCGUUCUCCCUAGCGUACACGGACUUUCAUAUAAUCAAAAGAAACCGGUAGAUCGUUCCUUCACAGUGGAAGUAAGUACUUUCACGAGUGCGUUGUCUACGACUUAGCCGUAUCGUUUUGGUUGAUCUCGAAAACUUCUAUGUGACUAAAACUUGGCGCCGUACCGUUAAUCGUGCUGGAUACUAUUUCCUUUUGCCGGAGGCUCUGCCACUGGAACGUAGUAUAAAUGAGGAAAAUAAUCACGAAAAAGUAAAGAACCAAUAAGAGGAAGGAAGGAAGGAAGGAAGGAAAAAAAAAA